rnacentral:misc_RNA from 1 species
GCCUUGUACACACCGCCCGUCACACCACGGAAGUUGGGAGUACCCAAAGUAGGUUGCCUAACCGCAAGGAGGGCGCUUCCUAAGGUAAGACCGAUGACUGGGGUGAAGUCGUAACAAGGUAGCCGUAUCGGAAGGUGCGGCUGGAUCACCUCCUUUCUAAGGAAUAUAAAAAAAGAUGUUGUUCUACUUUAUUCAGUUUUGAGGGGUCUAUAAAGACCAAACAAGCAGUCUUUUGAUGCAAGAUAGAGAAGAUUGCGUUGAGAGAAGGGGCCUUAGCUCAGCUGGGAGAGCGCCUGCUUUGCACGCAGGAGGUCAGCGGUUCGAUCCCGCUAGGCUCCAUAAGAUACGGAAGUAUCUUGUCAACGAAGACGUUAAAAUAGGAAUUGAUCAUUGAAAACUAAAUAACAAUAUCUUAUAACGAUAAAUAAACCGAGAAAUGGUAAAACAUUUCUGUAAAGCUGCGAAUUAUUUUAAAUAGUUCGAAAAAACUUAUACUUGUUUUAAUGGCAAAGUUAAUAAGGGCGCACGGUGGAUGCCUUGGCAUUAAGAGCCGAAGAAGG